rnacentral:rRNA from 1 species
GACGAACGCUGGCGGCGUGCUUAACACAUGCAAGUCGAGCGAGCGGUGGACGGGUGAGUAAUGUAUGGGGACUGCCCGAUAGAGGGGGAUAAUUACUGGAAACGGUGGCUAAUACCGCCUACUGUCGGAUAACCCAUAUGGGAUUAGCUAGUAGGUAAGGUAAUGGCUUACCUGGGCGACGAUCCCUAGCUGGUCUGAGAGGAUGAUCAGCCACGACGGGACUGGGAAACGGCCCGGAAGCCUAGGGAGGCAGCAGUGGGGAAUAGUGCACAAUGGGCUGAAGCCUGAUUGAGCAAUGCCGAGUGUAUGAAGAAGGCCCUAGGGUUGUAAAAUGCUGUCAGUCGGGAGGCGUUACCGACAGAAGAAGCACCGGCUAACUCCGUGCCAGCAGCCGCGGUAAUUC